CACAUCUAUUGAUUGUUUAACAAGAGCCGCCAGCAUAGAGUCCAUAUUCAUAAAUACCCGUCCAAAAACAAACCACAAGACAUACAUACAAAACUACAAACAUAUACUUCAGUUUUCCGCUUUUCUACACAAACCUACAUAAAUACGGGCACUCUACGUCCAUAUUCAUAAAUACUUGGCAAAAUACCUGUGGUGGCACAAUGAGGUACAACACGGCUUCUUCGGAUAGUUUUUCUACACACCCCUACAUAAAUACGGGCAAUCUGAGGGAUCUGAGGGCUCCGAGAAGACUCGCAAGUAGAACCAAUACUUUGUUCUGACACUGAUUCGGCUAUCGGAAAAUAUAGACUGUGAUGUGUGACUGGAUAAAAAUAUCAUAUUUUGUUACUAAUAAUUAUAU